AAGACCUCGCGCUAUUAGAGCGGCCGAUGCCCGAUUAGCUAGUUGGUGAGGUAAAAGCCCACCAAGGCAACGAUCGGUAGCUGGUCUGAGAGGAUGAUCAGCCACACUGGGACUGAGACACGGCCCAGACUCCUACGGGAGGCAGCAGUGGGGAAUUUUGGACAAUGGGCGAAAGCCUGAUCCAGCCAUGCCGCGUGAGUGAAGAAGGCCUUCGGGUUGUAAAGCUCUUUCAGCCGGAACGAAAUCGUCCGGGCUAAUACUCCGGAUGGAUGACGGUACUGGAAGAAGAAGCACCGGCUAACUACGUGCCAGCAGCCGCGGUAAUACGUAGGGUGCAGGCGUUAAUCGGAAUUACUGGGCGUAAAGCGUGCGCAGGCGGCAUUUCAAGUCAGAUGUGAAAUCCCCGGGCUUAACCUGGGAACU
rnacentral:rRNA from 1 species